CAAAUCUCAAAGGGGUGCCACUUAAUUGUGGCUGAGAUCAUACCCAAAGAACCUGGGCAGGUAAUGCUGCCAAGGGACACGCGCAAAAUGCGCAA
rnacentral:ncRNA from 1 species